GGAGUUAAGAAAUGUAGAUACGCUAAUAUCGUAUCUAUUUGACAAAGGCUCCAAAGGAAGCCACGGCUAACUCUGUGCCAGCAGCCGCGGUAAUACAGAGGUGGCAAGCGUUGUCCGGAAUUAUUGGGCGUAAAGAGCACGUAGGUGGAUUUGUAAGUCAGAUGUGAAAGCCUUCUGUUCAACGGAAGAAUUGCAUCUGAAACUACAAACCUUGAGUAUAGGAGGGGAGAGUGGAACUUCUG
rnacentral:rRNA from 1 species